CUACUUCAGGUUUGGGUUUUGUUGUCAUUAGCAAACAUGGCGGCGCCCAUCAACAGCUGAAGUUGGAGCACUCCAGAGGUUUAUAAACACCAUGAGCAACACAAUAUGUGCCCCUCGCGAACAAAUUAUAGAAAAUGAAGGAGACCUAAAGAAGUUAAGGUGUACACCAUCAACUUGGAGUGACCAUGUAACCUGAAUGUUGUGUUCAGUAACGUGGGAUUCUAGCUCAGGCAGCCAAAAGGCACAUGGAUGAGAAGAGUUUUACUACAUGUGCUAUGCCCCAGAGUAUGAGACAGUGGAGAACACCAUAUUAAAGCUGCAAGACGGGAGAUAUGUGAAUAGUACGGCUCAAAAUAAAGAACAGGACCAGGGGGAUGAAGAGAAAAAAAGCCCAUGUCUUCAGAUACAUUUGCUACCACAGCCAGGACUUCUUAAGGUAGCAUCAGUUCCUGAAGUCAAGCCAACAGAGAAGAAGACAAAGCCAGGAAAGCCUCAGAAAGUUAAUCUAACAGGGAAAAGGAAAGGGGGAUACCUAGUGAAUGUGAACUGAAUGUAUUCAACUGAAAUGUGUCUUCCUCAUUUAACCCAACCCCUCUGAAUCAGAGAGGUGUGGAGGGCUGCCUUAAUCGACAUCCACGUCUUCGCCGCCUGGGGAACAAUGGGUUAACUGCCUUGCUCAGGGGCAGAAAGACAGAACAGACUCCAUGUUCCGAAACGGACAGCAUCACACAGAAGAUAAUGCAUACAUUUGCAUACAAGUUCCUAGACUUUACACCAAUUAGACAGUACUUCAUCUUUUCUCAACAUGUUUUAUUUGUAUAUUUCCCAUCGGAGUAUAAGUGUUUUUAUAUAUAUUUUUAUUUGUUUAUAUAUAUUUGCAGUUUCAUGAAAAUGAAUAAAGUAGUGUUGUCCUUAAUGCUCAAGUGUAUCCUGUAUAUAAGUAUAAGUGUUUUUAUAUAUAUUUUUAUUUGUUUAUAUAUAUUUUCAGUUUCAUGAAAAUGAAUAAAGUAGUGUUGUCCUUAA